AAGUCAGUGGCUACCUUCCUGAUGGAGACUUGAACAAACUGUUAAGUGGUGAGCUGGGAGGAGACCUGAUGGGGCGGGGCCCCGAGCACUGCAGUGUCCAAGCCAGAGACUGAUAAAGGACUAAAGGAGAAGGCUACUACGUCACUGCACUGUUUUUCUUAAGCCACCAACUCCGUCUUGAUGAAAGGGGCCGGGCUCCCAGAAGAAAAUAGCUUUGCCUUUCAACUCCACCUGGAAACGGUUGACAUGGCGCUACCUUCACUCAAGCCUCUCCACUAGCCUUGGCGCUUCCCCCAUCUCUGCCAAGGCUGGCCCCUGCCAAGCCAAUCUAAAUAUCACAGCUGGAAGUACAGGGUCUCCCCCGCCCCCAACCCUUUCUCCCACACUCUAUACGUUGUACCUUGGGACCUUUCAACAUUCUCUAUGGUCAUUCUGAACACCCGCACCCUGCCCAUCCACUACGGCAACAGGCUCACAGACCCACAACUACACAUUAGAUUUUUUAAAAAAAACUUUUGUUCCCCCUUUACACAAUACAGGAGGUGGCCACAGCAGCCGGACACAGCACCUCAACAGUGUUAACUCUAUUAUGUAUUUGUAUCUCCAGAAGGCCCUUCCAACAAAAUCAACAAAAUUGCCACUUAAUAGAAGAAACGCGCACUUUGGAGGACUGUGGGUGAGCGCGCCCUCUACUGGUGAUCAGAGGAAGUGCUUU
rnacentral:lncRNA from 1 species